UGAGGAACAUGACCUUCGGCGGGGGAUAGCCGGCCCAACGGCCGGGUAAUACCGCGUACGACCACAUGGGGACAUCCCUGAGUGGUGAAAGCAGCAAUGCGCCGAUGGAGUGCCUCGCGGCCCAUCAGCUAGUUGGUGAGGUAACGGCUCACCAAGGCGACGACGGGUAGCUGGUCUGAGAGGAUGGCCAGCCACAUUGGGACUGAGACACCGGCCCAGACCUCGUACGGGGAG
rnacentral:rRNA from 1 species